GAAAAUCAAUAGCUUUAGUCUUUUAACUCUUUCUCCACAUGUUUGUCUUUCAGAGCAAAAAGAUUUAUAGUGUUUUACCCUGAACAAUGCCUUCAGUUCUGACCUGGGCAAGCACGUUACAACAAUGUUACAAAAAGUGUGAAGAGAUUAAGUCGAGGAGUAGGAAGUGCAAAAAUUCAUACAUUAUCUGUCAUAAAACACGCAUUUUAUCUGGAUUUAGAUACAAAAAGAUUCAUUAUUUCAGUAAUAGGUGUUAGUUAAUCUCGUUAUUAUGGUGUUUGUGGCCUGUCUUUGG